GAAAGAGGAACUUGGUAAUCUUUUUCCUUUAACCAUCGUAAAACCUCUCUGAUACUCAAAACUUCUGCUAGUAAAGAAUUGGAAACAAUGCCCAGAUGUUUCAUACCACCACCCGCACUGAAACCAGCAUGGUCUCUUACCAUCCAACCCGCUCUAGCUGACUUUGAUUGAAUAUAAAAUGAUGCAUCUAUAUUAAUCUUCAACUGACUAGGCGAUGAAGGCUUCCAUUUCAACAGCUUCAUAGAAACCAGUUGUUCUUGUUGGAUUCGAACGAUUCAUAAAUUGAGUAGCCUGCCAAGAACUGAUGAAAGAUUGAGCCCCUGGUCUUUUAUUAUUAAAGAUUACAUUAUUUCGCAUAUUCCAAAUUUUUCAACCCAAGGCAAUUGCUUCACAACAGAUAUCUAUAGUACAUCUGUCCUUUAUCUUUUGAAACCAAUCAAGAAUGGAAGUCAUAGAACCCCACCAGCCUGCAUUUGAGUUUAACUAGUAAUCUUUUGGAAAAUAACAAUCCACCAGACAAUGAAAAACAGAUUCUCUUCAACAUACGUACAGGGAAAAUGCGUGGAACCUCAAUUCUUCUAGACAAUAAAGCACUUCUCGUGGGUAAACUGUACAACAGAGGGCCUGCCACAUGAAGUUUGUUACUUUUGCUGGUAUUUUUGAGACUCCACAAGAAUUUUCAUUCUGCAGAAGGUAACAAAAAUUGAGAAUGCAUCUGCGAAAGGAGAGCUUGAUACCCACUACGAACAAUAUAUAGACCUUUGGACUCCGAAUUCCAAUUCCACGAGUCAUUAACAGCAUAUAGACUCAAUGGAAUCUGCAAAAUCAAGUGCACCUCUGUAUAGCUAAACAAGUCUGCUAAGACAUCAUUAUCCCAUUUCCUUUUACUCAUCAUAAACAAGUCUGUAUAGCCAUUAGUCAUUUCCUUUUACUGAUUAAUGAAUUUGGCCUUGUCAGUAAUCUCCAGCCUGUUUUAGCCAACAUUGCUAUAUUAAACUGAUGGAUUGACCGAAAGUCAAUACACCCUCUUCCUUUUUUCCGUCACAUAGAUCGUUAAGAUAGCCAAUGAAACACAUGUUUUACAAUUAGCAUCAUUUUUCCACCAAAAACGAUUCACAGCAUUUGCAAUUGGAGUAUAAACAUUACAUGGUAAAAGAAAAACAAUCAUCACGAAAUUAGGAAUAGGCAUGACCGGUUAAAUGAACCGCCGGUUCCAGUUCAUUGAACUAUCGGUUUCGGUUUAUUGAACCGCCGGUUUGAGAUGUUUAAAAUUUUAAAUCGGAAUCGACCCUUGAACCUCCGGUUCUGGUCCUGUUCCGGUUCUAGCAUGGUUUCGAUGAAUCAACGGUUCGAAUUACGGUUCCGGUAUUAUACAAAUUUUUAAAAAUAUUUAUAAAAUUUUGAUUCUGAAUUCAUAAAUAAAUAAUAAUUUUAAAAUGUUUAGAUUUUAUUAACUAAAUAAAUUAUUAUAAAAUUUUAAAAGAAAAACUUCCAUUAACUUAGAACUAUUAUUACAUUAAAUUUAUAAAUUUUGCUAAUUCACUAAUAUAGAAAAUUAUAAUUUUUUUUUUUAAUUUUGGGCUUGAAUUAAAUUAAAAUUGAAAAAUUUUAAUUUAAUUACCUAUGUAUAUUCUUGGGAAUUAGAGGAAAUCAAAGCCCACGUAGUUUUUUUUUUUUUUUUUUUACAAUGGAAAAUAACCUCCAAAUUAUUACAAUUAAUUUUAGUCAUCGGUGCCAUUAGUCCCCGUUAUUGAGCCAGAAUCAUCAUCAUCGCUUGAAUUUUGCUGGUCUUAAAUUUUCAACGCUGCUCUAGUGCAAUCGUCAACGCAUUCUUGCAUUUUCACAUUAUUUGGCAUAAUCUUGACCGUGUUGGAUCUAAAAUUUGUCCACCAGCACUAAAAGCUUGUUUCACUGCAACAAUAGAAAUUGGACAAGAAAGAAUAUCGUUUACAAUUGAAGCUAAGACUGGAAAGCGAUUUGUAUGCUUUUUCCACCAACUCAAAAUGUCAAAUUUUGUUGCGUCUUCAUCAGUAUCAUCACCCAAAAACUCCAAAUCUGUGCUAAUAUAUGUCUCAAUUUCCGUGUAUAAAUGUGGAUCCUCUUUUGGUUUUUUUGAAACAUUUUGCAUGAAAUUAAAUUGUGUAGAAUAAAAUUUAGUGGAUUGUGUAAUUUGUGGAUGUAAUACUUGAGGAAGGGGAGAUACUAAUUUAAAAUACUCAUCGUACAAGUGCCAGACAUACCUUAAAACAUUAUUAGUAAGAGAAAAAUAAUAUACUUCAAUAUUAAAAUAUCAUAAUAAAGACAAAAAAAUUAUUGUAAUGCAACUAACUUAAAUCUAGGACAAAGAAACAAUGCAACUAAAUUUAAAUUAGGAAUUUCAAUAUAAUAUUUUUUAACCAUUUAGUUUUCAUCAUGAAUAUACAUUCUUGUAAAUCAUCAUCAUUUUCAUUUUCAAUUAUGGCACUACUUAUGGCCAAACAAUGAAAUGGAAAUAAAUGGGAGGUAGGAUAAUAAACACCAUAAAAAUUCUUGUACAAUUUUCAAAAACUUGUAAAAUAUAUAAUAUUUUUUUAUAAAUAGUCCAAUCGGUUGGAUAAAGUUGAAAAUGUGAUGCAUGCAAUUGAAUUUCAUCUCAUGGGAAUAUCUCUUGAAAAUUUUUUAUAUUUUUUUCCCAUGGAGUGACAAAAAUUUUAAUUUUUUUUUUCUAACAUAUCUAUGUGUCCAUAAAUAAUUUAAAAUAUUUUUUAUUGGACGUAAAAAUUCAUUUAAUGUUGUUAAUGCAUCUUGAACACCUAAAUUUAAAAUAUGACAUGCACAUCAGUGUAAAAAAAUUUUCCACCAAAUUUGGAUUGACAAAUAGUUUUUAAUUUAUUUAUUGAUACCGUAUUUGCACUAGCAUUAUCAAAACCAAUUGUAAAAAUUUUUAGCCAAACUAUAUUCUUCUAAAAUAAUAUUUAACAUGAUAAAAAUAUUAUUGGAGGUGUGAGAGUCAUCAAAAACUCCAAGUGCAAUAUUCUUUUUUAAAUUUUCCAUUUAUUGUCAAUCCAGUGGGAAAUAACACCCAUAUAAGAAUGAGUUUGUGAUGCAUCACACCAAAUAUCACAACAAAUAAAUUUUACCAUCAAAAUUUGUAAAUAUAUUUUUUAAAAUUUCUUUUUCUUUCAAAUAAAUAGAUAAAAUUGUCCUUUUAAGUGUAUUCCUAGAUAUCUUUUUUUGUAAAAGAUUUAAUGUUUUUUUACGAUAGUUAUUAAAUCAAUUUUUUCACCAAAUGAAAAAGAUAAUCAUUCCAUACAAUCCAUCUUAGCCAUUUCAAUUUUAUUAGCUUCAUCACUAUAUUUAAAUAGUGGAGUGUUAGGAUCACCAUACCUUGAUGACAAUAAUUGAGUUUGAGUUAGAUCUAUUCCUACCUCACUUGAAUGAUAUGAUUUUAAAUGCCUAUUAUGAGUGCCAUAGCCUCCUCUAAGCUUGAGUGUAUUUUUUUUUUGCAAUAAUUAUAUCGAAUCGUAUUGAUUUCUCCGUUAUCUUAAACAAUUUUUGCAAAGUGCUUCUUGAAAACAUAUAAUUUUAGUGGUUUACCUAUUGAAAUGUUAGGAGAUGUUACUUCUUGUGAUGGAUGACGACGAAUAUAACGUUCCUCAACUAGAGUUUGAUAUUGAACUUCAUCAUUAAAUUGUAGUGAAAAAUCAAUUAAUGGUUCGUUUGAAUCAAUUUUUUCUACGCUUUGAGUAACUCACUUUCUCUUGGAGGUUUGUGAAUUGUGUGACAUGUUUUUAAAUGGAAUUAUGGAAAAAAAUGAAUAAAUUGAAUAUGAAAUUAAUGGAAUGAGUUGGAAAUUAUUAUUUCCAAAAUGUGAGAAAAUUAUUAAAAAAAAAUCAAAUGAAGUAAGUUUACGAAUGGAAAAAUUGAAAAUAAAAGGAAUUUAAAAUUGGAUGUAUGAAAAUAAAAAAUAAAAUUUGUUUGUGCAUCCGGUUCGAAUCGGACCCGCUUUAAUUUUGGAUACCGCUUUAAUAAAUUUUGGAUACGGCUUUAAUUUAAUUAUCCGUGGACCCCGCUUUGUAUUUUUUAACGUUAUUUCAUUAUCGUGAUUUGGACGAAUCGUUCCAUGCACCAUUUCGUAUACUUUACAUAAAAAUACUAGUAAAUUUCAAUAUAAAAAUAAUUUUUAAGGAUAAAAUUCAUCUAUUUUCAGUGUAUGAGCCUGCCGAUCAGCCGAUCAACAUGCAAAGUAAUUAAUUAGUACUUACUAGUAUAUAAGAAAAAUCCGUUACAGUUGGUAAUAUUUUAUUAAUUAUUUUUUCUUAAUAAAUUGACACAAAUAUUUUUCAUUAAUACUCGGACCUUAUCCAUUGCGAUCUGCAGAACCCAUUUAAAGACUCGAGAAAUUGUUAGUCAAAGACCCUGAAAAGAGAAAAAUGGCGGAGUCAAAGACGAUAGGCGUUGUGGGUAGCGGCCAAAUGGGGUCGGGCAUCGCCCAACUUGCCGCCGUACAUGGGUUCGAUGUCUGGCUCCUAGACACGGAUCCUUCUGCUCUGUCUAGAGCUAGAAAAUCUAUCACCAAUAACAUCAAUCGACUCAUCUCCAAAGGGCAACUCUCUCAGGUCAAUCAAAUAACACAACUUUUUCUUUUUGCUGAUAUUUUCACCUUUUUUUUUUUUGGGAAAUCAAAUAUUAAUAGUGGAAUUAUGAAUUUUUUCUUAUUGAUAUGAUUGACUGUACUUGAGUUCUAAUUUUGAAGCCCUCAUCACCAAUUAUGCUUGCUGUGUUUAAGUACUAAUGAGUAAAAGGACUGUAGGAUUAGCAGAUGCCCAAUUACAGAAGUAACAAAGUAGGAGGAUCAUUAAUUUCCAGGGUGAAGUUUUUAAGUGUCACUUUGAAAAUUUUCACAUGGAGAUAUAUUUCUUUUGCUAUGUGUUGAUAUUUUCCUUUUCGUUUGAACUCUUUUAAUCAGACUCCAGCGGUGAAUUUAUUGAUAAACAACAAGAACCAAUUCAGACGUUUAACUACUGUUUUGAAGUUCUUAUGAUGAAAACAUGUGAAUCUCUGUUUAAAGUUAAACUUUAACUAUGUCUGAGCAACAUAUUUGUAUCUAAUGCUUCUAUCACUAGCAAUUCAAAGAGUAAAGCCAAACAGUUACUUAGUGCAAAAAGUUGGUAUAUCCUACCCCCUGACUAUAAAAUAUCAAUGUCUUUCUUCUUUCUUGGGCUGGAGGUAAGCAUUUAUAGCAUCCAUGUUACAUUUGGACCAUUUUUUUAAAAUAAAUCUGAAGAUAUUGUAUGAUUGAAUUGUAGAGGGUGCUUUCAUGUUCUGGUUAUCUAUGUUUUCUGUUAAACGAACCCCAAUGCUCGAUUAUGUGUGCAAUGGUAUGACAUUAGAAUAUGAGUAAUCGGAUAUAUAUUGCAUAAAGAGAUGGCGACCAUGUGUUGAUUGUAUUUGAAGUCUUUAAGUAGUAAAAUUAAGACCAUUUAGUUAGCCGUAGUGUAAAAAUAUAUUGGAUUACACUAUAUUAUGUUCCAUGAUGGCUUACCAAAUUAUCCCAAGUUAGCUGAGGAAUUGCCUCUGAGAUCAGGGCUUUCAUGGAAAGAGGGAGUAUUUUCCAAUACUUAGACAAUUAAGAUAGUGGAAACAUAAUUUUUGAGCAUUUCUAUUCUAUGAUAAAUUUUCAAACCUUUAGCAAGUUAAGUUUUGAGUAAAAUUUGUAUUAGGAAGAUGUUGAUAGGACUGGAGAGAUUAAACCCAUUUCCUUCAGACUUAAGUAAUUUUGCAAAUAAAGAUUUUGAGAAAGUAAACUCUGUUUCCUUUUCUUGUAAAUUCGCGUGAAUGAAUGCUAAAAGAUUCUGGCUUUUCCACUUGAUAGGCAGGUGGUCACGAUGCUUUAGGGCGUCUAAAUUAUACCACAGAUUUGGAAGAGCUGCAUAUGGCAGAUGUUGAAUUAUGAAUUUUUUCUUAUUGAUAUGAUUGACUGUACUUGAGUUCUAAUUUUGAAGCCCUCAUCACCAAUUAUGCUUGCUGUGUUUAAGUACUAAUGAGUAAAAGGACUGUAGGAUUAGCAGAUGCCCAAUUACAGAAGUAACAAAGUAGGAGGAUCAUUAAUUUCCAGGGUGAAGUUUUUAAGUGUCACUUUGAAAAUUUUCACAUGGAGAUAUAUUUCUUUUGCUAUGUGUUGAUAUUUUCCUUUUCGUUUGAACUCUUUUAAUCAGACUCCAGCGGUGAAUUUAUUGAUAAACAACAAGAACCAAUUCAGACGUUUAACUACUGUUUUGAAGUUCUUAUGAUGAAAACAUGUGAAUCUCUGUUUAAAGUUAAACUUUAACUAUGUCUGAGCAACAUAUUUGUAUCUAAUGCUUCUAUCACUAGCAAUUCAAAGAGUAAAGCCAAACAGUUACUUAGUGCAAAAAGUUGGUAUAUCCUACCCCCUGACUAUAAAAUAUCAAUGUCUUUCUUCUUUCUUGGGCUGGAGGUAAGCAUUUAUAGCAUCCAUGUUACAUUUGGACCAUUUUUUUAAAAUAAAUCUGAAGAUAUUGUAUGAUUGAAUUGUAGAGGGUGCUUUCAUGUUCUGGUUAUCUAUGUUUUCUGUUAAACGAACCCCAAUGCUCGAUUAUGUGUGCAAUGGUAUGACAUUAGAAUAUGAGUAAUCGGAUAUAUAUUGCAUAAAGAGAUGGCGACCAUGUGUUGAUUGUAUUUGAAGUCUUUAAGUAGUAAAAUUAAGACCAUUUAGUUAGCCGUAGUGUAAAAAUAUAUUGGAUUACACUAUAUUAUGUUCCAUGAUGGCUUACCAAAUUAUCCCAAGUUAGCUGAGGAAUUGCCUCUGAGAUCAGGGCUUUCAUGGAAAGAGGGAGUAUUUUCCAAUACUUAGACAAUUAAGAUAGUGGAAACAUAAUUUUUGAGCAUUUCUAUUCUAUGAUAAAUUUUCAAACCUUUAGCAAGUUAAGUUUUGAGUAAAAUUUGUAUUAGGAAGAUGUUGAUAGGACUGGAGAGAUUAAACCCAUUUCCUUCAGACUUAAGUAAUUUUGCAAAUAAAGAUUUUGAGAAAGUAAACUCUGUUUCCUUUUCUUGUAAAUUCGCGUGAAUGAAUGCUAAAAGAUUCUGGCUUUUCCACUUGAUAGGCAGGUGGUCACGAUGCUUUAGGGCGUCUAAAUUAUACCACAGAUUUGGAAGAGCUGCAUAUGGCAGAUGUUGUUAUUGAAGCUAUUGUGGAAUCUGAAGAUGUGAAGAAAAAGUUAUUUCUUGCACUAGAUAAGAUUGUUAAAAGUUCUGCUAUUUUGGCUUCUAAUACAAGUUCCAUCUCCAUAACUCGUCUGGCAUCUACAACUAGCAGACCAGGCCAGGUUAUUUCUUUAUUUCUUCUUUUGGCCUGAAUUUAUGCUUGGAGUGUCUAAUAAUAAAAUUACAAAAUUCGGACAAAUUACAAAAGUCUCAUAUAAUUGCAUUUGAUUCAACUGUUAAUGAACUCAGAAAUUUCUGUUUUCUUUUUCAUCACCUCUUUUUUUUUUAACAAUUUGGGAUUCUGACUCGGUCAAAAACUCAAAGUAAUGCAUCAUCUGCAGGUAAUCGGCAUGCAUUUUAUGAAUCCUCCUCCCAUAAUGAAAUUGGUCGAAAUUGUGCGUGGUGCGGGCACAUCAGAUGAGACAUUUUAUGCAACCAAGUCAUUGGCUGAGAGGUGACAGAAAAUACACUCUUUGUGCAAUGUAGUUGCUGUUCAAAUGAUAAUCAGUUUUCUUAGCCAUUUAUGUGUCUGUAAUCCAAAAUAAUUAUUUUAUUCAAAACAAAACUAUUGAAUAUAUUCGAAUAGUGUUCCAUUAUGCGAAUGCGAAUGAAAUCCUCUUUUUAGCUUUUAUUAAAAAAAUUUCUCUUAUUUAGAUUUUAUUGUAAUUGUAAUCCACCAUCUAUUAACAUCAAUGGCUGUCAAAUUCUGCAGGCUUGGCAAGACAGUUAUAUGCUCUCAAGAUUUUUCCGGCUUCAUUGUAAACCGGAUUCUAAUGCCAAUGAUAAAUGAAGCAUUUCAUACUCUGUAUACAGGAGUGGCAACGAAGGAGGAUAUUGACACUGGAAUGAAGUUAGGCACAAACCACCCGAUGGGUCCUUUGGAGCUUGCAGAUUUUAUUGGAUUGGAUGUCUGCCUGUCAAUAAUGAAAGUUCUUCAUGCUGGCUUAGGCGACAGUAAAUAUGCUCCCUGUCCUCUUCUUGUGCAGUAUGUUGAUGCAGGUCGUCUUGGACGAAAAUGUGGUAUUGGGGUAUAUGAUUAUGGUAGAGCAUCUGCACAAGUAAUACCAUCUUCUCGGCUUUGAAAUUAGAUUGCUUUUCCAAAACUGGGGCAUAUAUUGCAAUUCUUUGUAUCAUGUUGCUCACCUUGGGAGGCAAUUCUGUAACAAAUUAGUAUCAGUUGCCUCGGGAGACACUCUCAUAAAUUGAGAAUAUAUUCUGUACUAAAAAGAAAGAUUGUGCUUGAAGGGAUAAUUUUUGCAGAAUUUAUUCUGUUCAAAGUUUUUGAUGCUUACACUUUUGAAUGUAAUGAAAUGAAUCUUAAUAGUAGUAAAUGGUGGAUGAUAACAGCAGUCUUUUCAAAUUAUUGGGGCAAUGUGCGUGUGUGUAUGUGCCUUUGAAAUCAAAAGAAAGCUACAAAAUCUGCAAUAGUAACAUGAUUAGAGACCUUUUGUUUAGGGUAGUGAAUCUCCACAUCAAUCCUCUUCAAAAACCAGUCCUUUUACGGGCAAUAGCAAUAGUGAAAGUUGCAUUCUAGAUUGAAAUUCACAUGCUUUCAUUUCCUUUUCUUUGUUAACAUUUAAAGCAAAGUCAAAUAAUAAUAGAAAAUAGAUAUCAUCAGCAUCUUGCUUGUGCAAGAAAAAAAAAAAAGGAUUGCGAAAAUCUGACACCAAAUUAUUACUGGAUUAAAAUUCUCAUGAUGAAAUUAACCUUAGGUUAAUUAAAUGAAGGCAAUUCAAGUAUACUGUCAAAGAUUGAGAGUUAAGAGUUUGUUUAUUGAAACAUGAAGUUAGAGACAUUUAGUUAUGUUUUAUAAUUACUUCGACAUAAGAAAGGAAAAACAAGAUUUGCGAGGUAAAUUUUCUGUUAUGUUAUGUAUUGCUUGCCAGCUGGGAAUCUUUAAUGUGAGACAAAGAAAUCAAAAAGGAGCCUCUAAAUUUCAACAAAGUGACCAAACAUGACCCACAAAGAAGAGCCGAUUAAGAGUAUUAAGUUCAUUGUUUCUCAUAUCCAACCCCACCACCAUUCCUCAUUCUAAAGCUGGCAUUAUUACGCCAUGCAUUUUCUAUAUUGAAAGUGAUUGAAUUGGAAUCCAAUGGAUUAUUAAAAAUUAAAAAAAAUGAACAACAUUAUUUGAUAAGAAAUAAAAAAAAAGGUAUAAUCCAAAAAAAAAAAAAAGAAACAAAAAAGAAGAUAAAAAGGCAUAGGAAAGCUAAAACUUUCCCUACUUUACAAGGUAGACUUGAGAGUUGAGAGUAUAGAGAGAGAGAGAGAGAGAGAGAGCAGGGUUAAGUAAUGAAGUUCUUGUUUCAGUGUCCUUGUUGCUCAUGUUUUUGCUUUGUGAAGCCCAAGAAGGGAAAACCAAAGCCGAAGGAAGCUAAAGUAGAGGACUCCAAGGAAGAGAAAAAAGAGUGAUAAAAAAUUGCAAAUGCUGCAUUGCUGAUGCAAAAUGGGUAUUUGGGUGCUCAAGUAAUUGUUUGUAUGUACAAUUUUCUUUCUAUUUCAUGUGAAAUGCUUCCAUCUUUAAUUGCUUUCCAUGGAAAAUAAGGUGUCACAUUACUUUUAUUUUACAAAAUCUCAUAAAAUGUAUGAGAUAUCAAGCUCAUAUCUAGUUUCUGCUUAUUUUGCUUCAAAGCUUGCAUAUAGUCAUUUUGUCUCUUGCCCCUAUAGUGGAAAAUGUGAAUGAGCCUAUCUUUAGUGAGGAUUGAAGCAUU
rnacentral:lncRNA from 1 species